rnacentral:rRNA from 1 species
CAGAGGGGGAUAACGUUUGGAAACGAACGCUAAUACCGCAUGAUAUUAUUGAGCUGCAUGGCUUGAUAAUCAAAGGAGCAAUCCGCUGAAAGAUGGGCUCGCGUCCGAUUAGGUAGUUGGCGAGACAACGGCCCACCAAGCCGACGAUCGGUAGCCGGACUGAGAGGUUGAACGGCCACAUUGGGACUGAGACACGGCCCAGACUCCUACGGGAGGCAGCAGUGAGGGAUAUUGGUCAAUGGGGGAAACCCUGAACCAGCAACGCCGCGUGAGGGAAGACGGUUUUCGGAUUGUAAACCUCUGUCCUCUGUGAAGAUAAUGACGGUAGCAGAGGAGGAAGCUCCGGCUAACUACGUGCCAGCAGCCGCGGUAAUACGUAGGGAGCAAGCGUUGUCCGGAUUUACUGGGUGUAAAGGGUGCGUAGGCGGCUUUGCAAGUCAGAAGUGAAAUCCAUGGGCUUAACCCAUGAACUGCUUUUGAAACUGCAGAGCUUGAGUGGAGUAGAGGUAGGCGGAAUUCCCGGUGUAGCGGUGAAAUGCGUAGAGAUCGGGAGGAACACCAGUGGCGAAGGCGGCCUGCUGGGCUCUAACUGACGCUGAGGCACGAAAGCGUGGGUAGCAAACAGGAUUAGAUACCCUGGUAGUCCACGCUGUAAACGAUGAUUACUAGGUGUGGGUGGACUGACCCCAUCCGUGCCGGAGU